rnacentral:rRNA from 1 species
AGUGAACGCUGGCGGUAGGCCUAACACAUGCAAGUCGAACGGCAGCACAGUAAGAGCUUGCUCUUACGGGUGGCGAGUGGCGGACGGGUGAGGAAUACAUCGGAAUCUACUUUUUCGUGGGGGAUAACGUAGGGAAACUUACGCUAAUACCGCAUACGACCUACGGGUGAAAGCAGGGGAUCUUCGGACCUUGCGCGAUUAAAUGAGCCGAUGUCGGAUUAGCUAGUUGGCGGGGUAAAGGCCCACCAAGGCGACGAUCCGUAGCUGGUCUGAGAGGAUGACCAGCCACACUGGAACUGAGACACGGUCCAGACUCCUACGGGAGGCAGCAGUGGGGAAUAUGGGACAAUGGGCGCAAGCCUGAUCCAGACAUACCGCGUGGGUGAAGAAGGCCUUCGGGCUGUAAAGCCCUUCUGUUGGGAAAGAAAAGCAGCAGGUUAAUACCCCGCUGUUCUGACGGUACCCAAAGAAUAAGCACCGGCUAACUUCGUG